CUUACACAUGCAGUCGAACGAUGAAGCCUUUCGGGGUGGAUUAGUGGCGAACGGGUGAGUAACACGUGGGCAAUCUGCCCUUCACUCUGGGACAAGCCCUGGAAACGGGGUCUAAUACCGGAUAACACUCUGUCCCGCAUGGGACGGGGUUAAAAGCUCCGGCGGUGAAGGAUGAGCCCGCGGCCUAUCAUCUUGUUGAUGGGGUCAUGGCCUACCAAGGCGACGACUGGUAGCCGGCCUGAAAGGGCGACCGGCCACCCGGGACUGAGACACGGCCCAGACUCCUACGGGAGGCAGCAGUGGGGAAUAUUGCACAAUGGGCGAAAGCCUGAUGCAGCGACGCCGCGUGAGGGAUGACGGCCUUCGGGUUGUAAACCUCUUUCAGCAGGGAAGAAGCGAAAGUGACGGUACCUGCAGAAGAAGCGCCGGCUAACUACGUGCCAGCAGCCGCGGUAAUACGUAGGGCGCAAGCGUUGUCCGGAAUUAUUGGGCGUAAAGAGCUCGUAGGCGGCUUGUCACGUCGGAUGUGAAAGCCCGGGGCUUAACCCCGGGUCUGCAUUCGAUACGGGCUAGCUAGAGUGUGGUAGGGGAGAUCGGAAUUCCUGGUGUAGCGGUGAAAUGCGCAGAUAUCAGGAGGAACACCGGUGGCGAAGGCGGAUCUCUGGGCCAUUACUGACGCUGAGGAGCGAAAGCGUGGGGAGCGAACAGGAUUAGAUACCCUGGUAGUCCACGCCGUAAACGUUGGGAACUAGGUGUUGGCGACAUUCCACGUCGUCGGUGCCGCAGCUAACGCAUUAAGUUCCCCGCCUGGGGAGUACGGCCGCAAGGCUAAAACUCAAAGGAAUUGACGGGGGCCGGCGCGCUCAAGCAGCGGAGCCUGGGGCUUAAUUCGAGCCAACGUGAAGAACCUUACCAAGGCUUGACAUAUACCGGAAAGCAUCAGAGAUGGUGCCCCCCUUGUGGUCGGUAUACAGGUGGUGCAUGGCUGUCGUCAGCUCGUGUCGUGAGAUGUUGGGUUAAGUCCCGCAACGAGCGCAACCCUUGUUCUGUGUUGCCAGCAUGCCCUUCGGGGUGAUGGGGACUCACAGGAGACUGCCGGGGUCAACUCGGAGGAAGGUGGGGACGACGUCAAGUCAUCAUGCCCCUUAUGUCUUGGGCUGCACACGUGCUACAAUGGCCGGUACAAUGAGCUGCGAUGCCGCGAGGCGGAGCGAAUCUCAAAAAGCCGGUCUCAGUUCGGAUUGGGGUCUGCAACUCGACCCCAUGAAGUCGGAGUUGCUAGUAAUCGCAGAUCAGCAUUGCUGCGGUGAAUACGUUCCCGGGCCUUGUACACACCGCCCGUCACGUCACGAAAGUCGGUAACACCCGAAGCCGGUGGCCCAACCCCUUGUGGGAGGGAGCUGUCGAAGGUGGGACUGGCGAUUGGGACGAAGUCGUAACAAG
rnacentral:rRNA from 1 species